UACGUAGGGGGCAAGCGUUGUCCGGAUUUAUUGGGCGUAAAGAGCUCGUAGGCGGUUCCGUAAGUCGAGUGUGAAAAAUCUGGGCUCAACCCAGUGGAGCACUCGAUACUGCGGUGACUAGAGUACGGUAGAGGAGUGUGGAAUUCCUGGUGUAGCGGUGAAAUGCGCAGAUAUCAGGAGGAACACCAACGGCGAAGGCAGCACUCUGGGCCGGUACUGACACUGAGAGACGAAAGCUAGGGGAGCGAAUGGG
rnacentral:rRNA from 1 species